AAACCAACAGGGAUUGCCCUAGUAACGGCGAGUGAAGCGGCAACAGCUCAAAUUUGAAAUCUGGCUUCGGCCCGAGUUGUAAUUUGCAGAGGAAGCUUUAGGCGCGGCACCUUCUGAGUCCCCUGGAACGGGGCGCCAUAGAGGGUGAGAGCCCCGUAUAGUUGGAUGCCUAGCCUGUGUAAAGCUCCUUCGACGAGUCGAGUAGUUUGGGAAUGCUGCUCAAAAUGGGAGGUAAAUUUCUUCUAAAGCUAAAUACCGGCCAGAGACCGAUAGCGCACAAGUAGAGUGAUCGAAAGAUGAAAAGCACUUUGAAAAGAGGGUUAAACAGCACGUGAAAUUGUUGAAAGGGAAGCGCUUGUGACCAGACUUGCGCCGGGCUGAUCAUCCGGUGUUCUCACCGGUGCACUCGGCCCGGCACAGGCCAGCAUCGGUUCUCGCGGGGGGAUAAAGGUCCCGGGAACGUAGCUCCUCCGGGAGUGUUAUAGCCCGGGGCGUAAUGCCCUCGCGGGGACCGAGGUUCGCGCAUCUGCAAGGAUGCUGGCGUAAUGGUCAUCAGCGAC
rnacentral:rRNA from 1 species